AGAGUUUGAUCAUGGCUCAGAACGAACGCUGGCGGCAGGCCUAACACAUGCAAGUCGAGCGCACCUUCGGGUGAGCGGCGGACGGGUUAGUAACGCGUGGGAACGUGCCCUUCUCUAAGGAAUAGCCACUGGAAACGGUGAGUAAUACCUUAUACGCCCUUCGGGGGAAAGAUUAAUCGGAGAAGGAUCGGCCCGCGUUAGAUUAGAUAGUUGGUGGGGUAACGGCCUACCAAGUCUACGAUCUAUAGCUGGUUUUAGAGGAUGAUCAGCAACACUGGGACUGAGACACGGCCCAGACUCCUACGGGAGGCAGCAGUGGGGAAUCUUGGACAAUGGGCGCAAGCCUGAUCCAGCCAUGCCGCGUGAGUGAUGAAGGCCUUAGGGUCGUAAAGCUCUUUCGCCAGGGAUGAUAAUGACAGUACCUGGUAAAGAAACCCCGGCUAACUCCGUGCCAGCAGCCGCGGUAAUACGGAGGGGGUUAGCGUUGUUCGGAAUUACUGGGCGUAAAGCGUACGUAGGCGGAUUAGUCAGUCAGAGGUGAAAUCCCAGGGCUCAACCCUGGAACUGCCUUUGAUACUGCUAGUCUUGAGUUCGAGAGAGGUGAGUGGAAUUCCGAGUGUAGAGGUGAAAUUCGUAGAUAUUCGGAGGAACACCAGUGGCGAAGGCGGCUC
rnacentral:rRNA from 1 species